UACGUAGGGGGCUAGCGUUGUCCGGAAUCAUUGGGCGUAAAGAGCUCGUAGGCGGUUUGUCACGUCUGCUGUGAAAUCCCGAGGCUCAACCUCGGGCCUGCAGUGGGUACGGGCAGACUGGAGUGCGGUAGGGGAGAAUGGAAUUCCUGGUGUAGCGGUGGAAUGCGCAGAUAUCAGGAGGAACACCGAUGGCGAAGGCAGUUCUCUGGGCCGUAACUGACGCUGAGGAGCGAAAGCGUGGGGAGCGAACAGG
rnacentral:rRNA from 1 species